UACGUAGGGGGCGAGCGUUGUCCGGAGUUACUGGGCGUAAAGGGCAUGCAGGCGGUCGGACGCGUUUCGGGUGACAGCGGGUGGCUUAACUACCCGAGUGGUCGAAAGACGGUUUGACUUGAGGACGCGAGAGGGACACGGAAUUCCGGGUGGAGUGGUGAAAUGCGUAGAGAUCCGGAGGAACACCGAAGGCGAAGGCAGUGUCCUGGCGCGUAACUGACGCUGAGGUGCGAAAGCUGGGGGAGCGAACAGG
rnacentral:rRNA from 1 species